rnacentral:tRNA from 1 species
GCUAUUUUGACAGACUAAUGUGAUAAAUUUAGAAUUUAUUGAUAAAUAAUUUAUUAUUUAAAUAGUA